rnacentral:rRNA from 1 species
AACGGGUGAGUAACACGUGAGUAACCUGCCCCUGACUCUGGGAUAAGCGUUGGAAACGACGUCUAAUACUGGAUAUGAUCACUGGCCGCAUGGUCUGGUGGUGGAAAGAUUUUUUGGUUGGGGAUGGACUCGCGGCCUAUCAGCUUGUUGGUGAGGUAAUGGCUCACCAAGGCGACGACGGGUAGCCGGCCUGAGAGGGUGACCGGCCACACUGGGACUGAGACACGGCCCAGACUCCUACGGGAGGCAGCAGUGGGGAAUAUUGCACAAUGGGCGAAAGCCUGAUGCAGCAACGCCGCGUGAGGGAUGACGGCCUUCGGGUUGUAAACCUCUUUUAGUAGGGAAGAAGCGAAAGUGACGGUACCUGCAGAAAAAGCACCGGCUAACUACGUGCCAGCAGCCGCGGUAAUACGUAGGGUGCAAGCGUUGUCCGGAAUUAUUGGGCGUAAAGAGCUCGUAGGCGGUUUGUCGCGUCUGCUGUGAAAUCCCGANGGCUCAACCUCGGGCUUGCAGUGGGUANNCGGGCAGACUANGANGUGCGGUANGGGGAGAUUNGGAAUUCCUGGUGUAGCGGUGGAAUGCNGCAGAUAUCAGGANGGAACACCGAUGGCGAAGGCANGAUCUNCUGGGCCGUAACUGANCGCUGAGGAGCGAAANGCAUGGGGNAGCGNAACAGGAUUAGAUACCCCUGGNUAGUCCAUGCCNGUAAACGUUGGGCGCUAGAUGUAGGGNACCUUUCCACGGUUUNCUGUGUCGUAGCUAACGCAUUAAGCGCCCCGCCUGGGGNAGUACGGCCGCAAGGCUAAAACUCAAAGGAAUUGACGGGGGNCCCGCACAAGCGGCGGAGCAUGCGGAUUAAUUCGAUGCAACGCGAAGAACCUUACCAAGGCUUGACAUACACCGGAAACGGCCAGAGAUGGUCGCCCCCUUGUGGUCGGUGUACAGGUGGUGCAUGGUUGUCGUCAGCUCGUGUCGUGAGAUGUUGGGUUAAGUCCCGCAACGAGCGCAACCCUCGUUCUAUGUUGCCAGCGGGUUAUGCCGGGGACUCAUAGGAGACUGCCGGGGUCAACUCGGAGGAAGGUGGGGAUGACGUCAAAUCAUCAUGCCCCUUAUGUCUUGGGCUUCACGCAUGCUACAAUGGCCGGUACAAAGGGCUGCGAUACCGUAAGGUGGAGCGAAUCCCAAAAAGCCGGUCUCAGUUCGGAUUGAGGUCUGCAACUCGACCUCAUGAAGUCGGAGUCGCUUGUAAUCGCAGAUCAGCAACGCUGCGGUGAAUACGUUCCCGGUCGUUGUACACACCGCCUCUCAAGUCCGGAACAUCG